rnacentral:rRNA from 1 species
GAUGAACGCUAGCUACAGGCUUAACACAUGCAAGUCGAGGGGAAACGAUAUUGGAAGCUUGCUUCCGAUAGGCGUCGACCGGCGCACGGGUGAGUAACGCGUAUCCAACCUGCCCAUCACUUGGGGAUAACCUUGCGAAAGUAAGACUAAUACCCAAUGAUAUCUCAAGAAGACAUCUGAAUGAGAUUAAAGAUUUAUCGGUGAUGGAUGGGGAUGCGUCUGAUUAGCUUGUUGGCGGGGUAACGGCCCACCAAGGCGACGAUCAGUAGGGGUUCUGAGAGGAAGGUCCCCCACAUUGGAACAGAGACACGGUCCAAACUCCUACGGGAGGCAGCAGUGAGGAAUAUUGGUCAAUGGGCGGGAGCCUGAACCAGCCAAGUAGCGUGCAGGAUGACGGCCCUAUGGGUUGUAAACUGCUUUUAUAAGGGAAUAAAGUGAGCCUCGUGAGGCUUUUUGCAUGUACCUUAUGAAUAAGGACCGGCUAAUUCCGUGCCAGCAGCCGCAGUAA